GUUGCCAGCCCACUGCGGUUAAACUUGAAGAACUAGUAAAAUCUUUUUAGUUUAUAGUUAAAUUGUUGAAUUUAUAUAUUUGUGGAAAUAAAAAGUGAAAUUGAAUAUUAAAAAUAAAUAAUCAAAAAUUUAAAAUUGAAGCUAGAAAAAUUCAGAGAUAAACCAGGAUUAGAUACCCUGUUAUACUGUAARYKYAWUAWWWWAAACUAAAUAAUUAAAAGUUAAAUUCUUAAAAAUUUAAAAUUUGGCGGUAAUUUAGUCUUGUCGGAGGAACCUGUUUUUUAAUCGAUAAUCCACGUUACUUUUUACUUAUUUUUAUUAAGUUUGUAUACCAUCAUUAUCAGAUAAUUUUUAUAAAAAAUUGUUGUAAUUUAUUGAAUAAUAAAGAAAAUUAGAUCAAGGUGCAGCUGAUGAAUAAGUUAAAAUGGGUUACAAUAAGUGUUACUUAUACGAAUUAAUUUACUAAUAGAAAUUAUGAAGGAGGAUUCGAUUGUAAUUUAAUUUUAAAAGUUUAAUUGAUAUAAGCACUAAAUUAUGUACAUAUCGCCCGUCGCYUUYMYYAAUAUGAUGAGAUAAGCGAAAAAAAAAGUAAAAAUG
rnacentral:rRNA from 1 species